UACGUAGGGUGCAAGCGUUGUCCGGAAUUAUUGGGCGUAAAGAGCUCGUAGGCGGUCUGUCGCGUCUGCUGCGAAAAUCAGGGCUCAACCCUGGACCUGCAGUGGGUACGGGCAGACUAGAGUGCGGUAGGGGAGAUCGGAAUUCCUGGUGUAGCGGUGAAAUGCGCAGAUAUCAGGAGGAACACCGGUGGCGAAGGCGGGUCUCUGGGCCGAU
rnacentral:rRNA from 1 species